CGUAAAAUAGUGUUCAAACAUGUUAUACAAUAUUCUUAGGUCAGUAGAACUUGGGUACGAGGGGCGGACCCACAUUAGACUGAGGGGGUUCAGUUGAACCCCCUGAAAGAAAAAAAAUUCUACUGACCCCCUUGUACAAUUAUUUUUUUGAACCCCCUGAAAAUUUUAAUUUGCACCCAGACCCUCUCUCUCACACUAACUACUCAGCUCUAACCCUCUAGGUCAAGCACGCACACACGCACCAGUGCACCACCGGCCACCAUCACGGCACCAGUCAGCACCACGCUACUGCUCCACACAAUAUACCAGCCGCGCCUCUACCUAAAUGUAACUCUCUCAAUCAAGACUCUGUCUUUUUGUCUCUAACUUUUCAUCGGGUUUCCCCAUUCACCAGCUCGAUCCAUAGGGAAGAAGCUGUGAAUCCAGUGGAAAUUUUUGAACUGGUAAAGGUGAAGGCUUGGACCUGGUUACGUGCAAAAAAUAGUAGCUUUAUUCAUUCUUUUGCUGAAUGGCUUAAUGAACCUAUGGAAUGCAUUGAUGAUACUUAAAGUAUUUGGUUGAAGGUAUGGAUGAAGGUCCUGAGUGUGGAUUAAAGCUAAAAAGGGUGCAUGUGUAUACUCUGUGUUCGAAUGGCUGCAGAAUUUGAAGGAGAGCAUAACUCAGAUUUGAUGUGGGUUCACAUACUGCAGUUAUUUGGCAGGUUGUAGAGAGGAUCAAAGUGUUGGCUGCAGGGUGUGUUUUAUUGUCAUGAUGCCAUUGAAUUUUAUAUGGCUGGUUAGGUUGUGAUAUUAAUUAUAGUGCACGAAGUGGUGGUAUGCACGGUAGGGACUUGCUAUUGUGUCUGCAUAAGUAUUAAGGUGGUUUUCUUGCAAGGUGCUGUUUAGGCAAUAAGUUUUGUUUGUGGUGGAAUUAAAUUCAGCUAUGAAUUGACACCAAUUUAUGACGAUUACACUCAAAUGGAGAUGGCUACUGCUACUUAUACUAUAAUGGAAGGAGCACCGAAGAGGGGAGCUGAUUUAGUGCAGGUCUUUUACUGCACAUUGUUUUAAUUUGUGAGGCAGGUUCUUCCUUUGGAUAUAUUCUGGCUGAAGGCAUUUGGGCAGUGGAGUGUUGGAGGAGGCUAAUUCUCUUAUCUGCUUUUAUUCCUUGUUGGUGGUUACCUUAGAUUUUAGAAAUUGGUACUUUUUCCUUUACUAGGUUUUCCCGGGGGUUUUUCCUAGUAAGGUUUUAAUGAGGUUUUUUUCUAAAGUCUUUCCUCGAAGAAGAUGGUGGGAUAUCAUUAGUAUAUGGUUCAUGUAUUGCUGUAUUUUUUGUCGCACUUAUCUUAUUUCCUUCAUUUCCUUA